rnacentral:rRNA from 1 species
AGACGGAGGGUGCUAGCGUUGUUCGGAAUAACUGGGCGUAAAGGGCGCGUAGGCGGUUUGGUCAGUUAGAUGUGAAAGCCCCGGGCUUAACCUGGGAACUGCAUUUAAUACUGCCAGACUAGAGUGCGAGAGAGGAAAGUGGAAUUCCUAGUGUAGAGGUGAAAUUCGUAGAUAUUAGGAGGAACACCAGUGGCGAAGGCGACUUACUGGACUGUAACUGACACUGAGGCACGAAAGCGUGGGUAGC